rnacentral:rRNA from 1 species
UACGAAGGGGGCUAGCGUUGCUCGGAAUUACUGGGCGUAAAGGGCGCGUAGGCGGACGACUUAGUCAGGCGUGAAAGCCCCGGGCUCAACCUGGGAAUUGCGCUUGAGACGGGUUGUCUUGAGGACGAGAGAGGGUGGUGGAAUUCCCAGUGUAGAGGUGAAAUUCGUAGAUAUUGGGAAGAACACCGGUGGCGAAGGCGGCCACCUGGCUCGUUACUGACGCUGAGGCGCGAAAGCGUGGGGAGCAAACAGG